UCUACGAAUUUGUACUAAACAAAGAUCCAACCAAAUACCAAAAUGUUUCUUUUAACGAGUUUAUCACAUCAUUACAACUGACUCAGACAUAUGAGCAACAAAUCACAUGAAAGGGAGAGUCAUGACAACCCAAAUGCACAUGCAUGUAAAACGUACCAAUUGUCCAAAAAAUUGAAAUGAUGGCGACAAACCGAAAGAAAAACCAGACAUGAAUUGCAGAAAAAAGGGAUAAUCACCAGCCAAAAUUUAAGGAUAAGAUUUUCCCACCACAUAAUCCUACCAUGAAACCAACAAUAUAAUAUACUCAGAAACUAGUAGUGUAGAAGACACUGGAAGCAUUGAGACUUUGAGACCCUUGGUCAAUUUGGGUGCAACCAAACAGCACAACAAUGAGCUGGUGGUGGGCAGGAGCCAUAGGAGCUGCAAAGAAAAAGUUUGAUCCCAACGAUGCACCACCCAAGUACCAGAGCGUGGCACUGGUGGCGGGGGUCACGGGGAUCGUGGGCAAUAGCCUUGCCGAGAUCCUGCCACUCCCCGACACCCCUGGUGGGCCCUGGAAGGUCUAUGGGGUAGCCCCUCAGGGCCCGCCCGGAUUGGAAUGCUGAUCAUUCCAUCGAGUACAUCCAAUGUGAUCUCUCAGACCCUCAUCAAACGCAUUCUGAACUCUCCCAACUCACCGAUGUCACACACAUCUUUUACGUCACUUGGGCCAGCAAGCCCACGGAAGCAGAGAACUGCGAGGCCAAUGGCAACAUGUUUCGAAACUUGUUGGAUGCUGUGAUCCCAAAUGCACCAAAUUUGCACCACAUAUGCUUGCAAACAGGUCGCAAGCAUUACGUUGGUUCAUUUGAGAUGUUGGGAAAAGUUGAGCCUCAUGAGCCUCCGUUUCAUGAGGACCUCCCGAGGCUCAACGUGCCCAACUUUUACUACACAUUGGAGGACAUUUUGUUUGAGGAGGUGAAGGAGGGGUUGACAUGGUCAGUGCACAGGCCUAGUGUGAUUUUCGGGUUUUCGCCGUAUAGCUUGAUGAACAUAGUGGGGAGUUUGUGUGUUUACGCUGCGAUAUGUAAGCACGUAGGGAAGAAACUGAGGUUUUCGGGGAGCAGAGGAGCGUGGAACGGGUACUGGGAUGUCUCAGAUGCUGACCUGAUUGCUGAGCAUCAGAUAUGGGCAGCAGUUGAUCCUUAUGCAAAGAAUGAGGCUUUCAAUUGCAGCAAUGGGGAUGUGUAUAAGUGGAAGCAUUUGUGGAGGGUUUUGGCAGAACAGUUUGACAUGGAGUUUGAGGACUUUGAUGAUGCUGACGAGGGUGAAUCGAGGCCGAGCAUGGAGGAGAUGAUGAAAGAUAAGGGGCCAGUGUGGGAUGAGAUUGUGAGAGAGAAUGGUCUGGUGCCUACAAAAUUGGAAGAGAUUGGGAAUUGGUGGUUUGUGGAUGUCAUGUUUGGGAUAGAGUCAAGUGUGGACAGUAUGAACAAGAGCAAAGAGCAUGGCUUUGUGGGGUUCAGGAACUCAAGGACAUCAUUUGUAACUUGGAUUGAUAAGAUGAAAUCUUACAGACUUGUUCCUUGAUGUGGUGGUGGUGGGGCCUAAGUUCUUUUUUCGUUUUUCUUGUUUUUGUUCCUUUGUCUUGUUGGUUUGGUUUUCUUAUGUUGCUGUUAUAAUUGUUUUGUUAAGGUUGUAAUACAAAAUCUGGGUGGUUAGGGUUUAUUGGCUUUGUAAUUUUGUGUGAAUUAUGAAUUAAGUCCAUGAAUUUUGGUCUUA